AACGUAGGAGAGGCGGGGUUUAAUGGCACAGGGUGAUUCCAGCUCUUUACAGUGCAAAACACAUCAACUAAAAUCACAUCAAUUAUUGUGAACUAAUAAAAACACAAUUAGAAAAGAGGAGCGCAGAUAAAACACAUGCAGAGAUAAAAAGGAUCAUUUUUAUAAAAGCUUGAUUGGAAUCACCAACAGAUCCAGGUUUACAGUGUAGGAUAAAGACAGGAAGGGGAGGGACUAAUGUGAAAAUACACUGUUAUAAAGGUUUUUACAGAACAUUUGAAUAACCUGGUUGGAUCUAUAAACUUAAAGCAAACCUGCAACAGAGUUGGAGUUAAAGUUCUGCAGAAAAUCAUUCUGAAUCCCCGAAACCGCUUUGUAAAAGUUGGAGUUAAUUGAAAUGAAUGCAUCCAAGUGAUGCUCUAAAUCCUCAUUCUGUGCUGCUGUCAUUAUCUUGUUGUUUUAUGCGUGAUGACCCACGGUCACCGACUCCCACAGCUGCCAUUACACCGCGGUUACUUAUAGCUACCAGAACGGUAAAGAAGUAUUUCUUCCUCUGAGGGGUUCACCCAGCCUGUGUCAGCAUCGAUUACGAUUUAUUUCAGGAAGGAAAAUUUCUUAUCUUGACAUUCUCAAAUGCCGAGCUUCGACUUGGGCUCGGACUCCGUAUCGGGUAACUGAUUAUAGCGAAGAAACAUUUGUUUCUGCCCGUCGCCAUCUUCAAAGCAGAUUAAGUGCACCUUUGUUCACACAGUGUUUCACUUUAACAGCUUGGGGAUGAGGAUGCAGUUCUAAUGGCAGCCGGGCCCGCCGCGAGGAGCUCUCCCAACAUCAAUACGGGCCCAAUCUGGGCGUGAGAAAGAGGAGCCAGCUCUCCCGAUUCCCCCGCCAUCAGUUCAUUGAAGUCUGUUGUGAGCAGAGGCAGAAAGGAGAACAUGAAUGCAGCAAAAGUAUCAGACGCCAGGAUCCAUAAACAGCCGUCUGGAUCUAUGAACCCUCUUCACUGGAUGAAGUGUUGAGUCGGUGUGGAGCUGCAUGGUGAUGUGGUCCAGAAGACAAACCGCUCAAAGACUACAGUCACCUUCUGAAUGGUCAAACGUUUUGACACACGUGUGUUCUGAUGCUUUUUUGAUAUAAUUCCUCUUGUUUUUUUCAGGUAAUGACUGAUUGUACCACAUUCUGACAGAGACGUAAAACUUUUUUUUGUUUGAGAGUUUUACAAAUAGAGAUAUUUAAAAAAAAAAAAGAAUGACUCUCUUUUUGUGUGUUAGAAUAUGUAAUUAAAGUGACUAAAGAACAUUCAGCGUCCGACUGAGGCUAUUCCUCAGUGGUUAAUGAAAUUAAAGCAUUGAGAAAUGAAAGCCUUUAGAAAUUCUUUAAUAGAGUUGUGAAUAAGCUUCCUUGAAUGACCUGUUCUCAAAAAAAA